rnacentral:rRNA from 1 species
AUUGAACGCUAGCGGGAUGCCUUACACAUGCAAGUCGAACGGAGUGGCGAACGGGUGAGUAAUGUCUCGGAAUGUGCCCAGUAGCGGGGGAUAACUACGCGAAAGCGUAGCUAAUACCGCAUACUAUUGGAUCAGCCUAUAUCGGAUUAGCUAGUGGGUGGGGUAACGGCUCACCAAGGCGACGAUCCGUAGCUGGUUUGAGAGGACGACCAGCCACACUGGGACUGAGACACGGCCCAGACUCCUACGGGAGGCAGCAGUGGGGAAUUUUGGACAAUGGGCGAAACCCUGAUCCAGCCAUCCCGCGUGUGCGAUGAAGGCCUUCGGGUUGUAAAGUACUUUCAGCGAGGAGGCGUUACUCGCAGAAGAAGCACCGGCUAACUCCGUGCCAGCAGCCGCGGUAAUAC